CAGCAGCCACGGGAAUACAGAGGGUGCGAGCGUUAAUCGGAUUUACUGGGCGUAAAGCGUGCGUAGGCGGCUAAUUGAGUCGGAUGUGAAAUCCCCGAGCUUAACUUGGGAAUUGCAUUCGAUACUGGUUAGCUAGAGUGUGGGAGAGGAUGGUAGAAUUCCAGGUGUAGCGGUGAAAUGCGUAGAGAUCUGGAGGAAUACCGAUGGCGAAGGCAGCCAUCUGGCCUAACACUGACGCUGAGGUACGAAAGCAUGGGGAGCAAACAGGAUUAGAUACCCCUGUAGUCCCUGUCUCUUAUAC
rnacentral:rRNA from 1 species